GACGCCGAAGUCCCGGGAAAAGGAAGGGCGCCAUUUGAUUUCACAGCAAACGGGCGGUGACACCGACUUCCCGGGAAAGGGAAAGGCGCCAUUUGAUUUCACAGAAAACGGAAACGCAGUGAUGAAGCCCAGCGCCUGGCCCUCGCCCUCCCUCCACGUCUGUCUCGGGGGCGCCCUCCCCUCGCAGGAGCCAGGGCACGCGGGCCUUCAACCGCCGAGGCCCCCGCCGCCCUUCUGGACUUUUAUCGAGGCAUGUACACUAAUACGAAAGAGAAUUUGCCAUUUACCUGUAAGAUUGAGGGUGACAACGUAAGAGGAAUGGUUUUAAGUGACGCGUCCGGCUCCUUACUCCCACUGAAGGGUGAAGGUGCCACAGGUGGACCUGGUUUGGAUUCUGAUGUGAAGAAACCGACUUCAAAACAUUUGGGCCAAUCAGGAAAAUGCGAAAACUCUGACUACAAAUUUAAUGAUAUCUAGAAUUAUUGUUAAUAGUUUAAGAUGGAGUCUUGCCCUGUCACCCAGGCUAGAGUGCAGUGGUGCAAUCUCGGCUCACUACAGCCUCCACCUCCAGGGUUCAAGCAAUUCUCAUGCCUCAGCCUCCCAAGUAGCUGGGAUUACAGGUAUGUGCCAUCACACCUGGCUAAUUUUUGUAUUUUUAGUGGAGACAGGGUUUU
rnacentral:lncRNA from 10 species